rnacentral:rRNA from 1 species
GACGAACGCUGGCGGCGUGCUUAACACAUGCAAGUCGAACGGAGUGGCGGACGGGUGAGUAAUGCUUGGGAACUGGCUUAUGGAGGGGGAUAACGACGGGAAACUGUCGCUACUACCGCGUACCAUAGGAUGAGCCCACGUGGGGUUAGGUAGUUGGUGGGGUAAUGGCCUACCAAGGCGACGAUCGCUAGCUGGUGUGAGAGGAUGAACGGGCAAAAUGGGAAUGAGACAAGGGCCAGGAUCCUACGGGAGGCAGGAGUAGGGGAACUUCGGAAAUGGACGGAAGUCUUAACGAACAAAGCCGCGGGAGGGAAGAAGGUUUUCGGAUCGGAAAGCUAUGUUGUAAGAGAAGCGGUAUCUGACCAGAAAGGGACGGCUAACUACGUGCCAGCAGCCGCGGUAAUUC